CCUACCACUUGCGGUGGUUGUGAUAGCUACAGUCCUUGCAAACAUGGAGAAGAAAGAACACUUGUGGCAAGAAGUUGCAAGAAAUUUAAGUUCACAUAUAUCAGACAACCCAAACAAAUUCAUGAAGAUAUCAGAACUUAGUUGUGAACAUUUACCGAACCAUUUGAAACAGUGUUUUCUUUACUUUGGAGCAUUUGAGGAAGAUGAGGAAAUCCUAAUACAAAAGUUGAUAUCUCUUUGGAAGGCUGAAGGAUUUAUAAAGAAGGAAGAUCAGAAAUGCUUAGAGGAUGUGGCCCUAGAAUAACUGAUGCAACUAAUUGAUAGGAGCCUGGUACUUGUUUCCAAACGAGGCUUUGAUAGAAAAGUCAAAACUUGUAAGGUUCAUGAUCUACUGCGUGAAAUGUGCUUGAGAAUAAGUGAAGAAAAGAACUUUUUGAAGGUGUUCAAAUUGUAAG
rnacentral:lncRNA from 1 species